GUUAUAAUAACUAGGAGAGAGACACUCUUCAAACAUAAAUGACUCUAUCUCCUCCCACGCAUCACACAUGCCAACAAACCACCACUGCCACAACACACCGUUACAAACCCACAAGCCACCAUGGUUCUUUCCCGAUCCCUUGAACUCCAGCAUGAUCUUAGAACCCAGGAAGUUGAAGUUCAUGUACACUUCCGGAAUUACAUUUUCGCAAAUCAAAGAACUCGAUCCUCUUCCAACAUGCUUGUAAGGGAGUUGACAACAGUGCAAUGUAUGCAUUCUCUUCAUCCAAUGCAGUUUUAGAUCCGACCCUUCCUCUUCUUUCUCCUUUUCUUUUUUUUUUUUUCUUUUUCAACAAAGACUUCUCCCCUAAGCGCAUGGAAUAGAAAAAAGAGACACCAGUGUGUCAAAAGAGGGAAUGACAGUGACGAUGCCGCAAGCUCAAAAGAAAAAGAAAUGAUAGAGGUGGACCGUCUUCCCAUAUGGCGGCCGGAAAUCGCCAAUUAUGGUGAUUCACGAAUUAUUGUUCUAAUUUGUUGGUGGGUGUAACUCUUUAAGAAAGUCUACUUUUAGGUGAGAUUCAAGAAGUCAAUACUCAAUACAGACCUGCUUAUCUUGUAGUCAAAGAAUAUAUUAAGACAGCUUUGUUAUAUGUCAGGGAACAUGAAGGGCCUCCAGAGCAUAGGCCAGUGAUGGAUCGUAAGCCAAAUAAAAAAUACUCAAGUUUGAUGAUGGGGAAACAAAAGUAGUAAAGGCAGCAAAAAUAAGUAUUUGAGAUUUUUGGUUGUGAAAAAAACAUAAGCACUUUUUUUUUAUUUGUUUAUAUGUUCUUGAUUUGUUUUGAAAAAUGAUUAAUUAUAAUUAUAAACAUUUAUAUAAAAUUUAAGAUUUAUACAUAUAUUUAUUAAGUAAAUUAUACUUUUGAAAAAUUGUACCCCCAAGUCAUCUAAUCCUGAGUUUGUCCCUAAUUGUGUGUUUGUGUCUAAGAGAACCUAAUUAAGGAAAUUAUCUUUAGGAGUCUAAUUUGAGUAAUUAUCUUUAGGGUUUAAUUAGAAAAUUUAUUUAUAGUGUAACAAUUAAAGUAAUUAUCUUUUGGGAUCAUGAUAGAAUAUCUAUUAAACUAAGUAUGCUUAUGAGUCUAAUAAGGAGUUGGAGUAACUACUUUACAACUUUUAACCUUUUAUCUAUUUUUACGUUUUUGAGAGCCUAGAGAGUGUUAAGUGUUUUUUAGAAGUGGAUGACACCGUGAAGACGAAUCAUGAUUAUUGUUUCUUUCCUACGAGUAUGUCUAUGCUAAUCUCUUCUAAGCUUUCUAGUUUUGCUUUGACCAUAAGUGACUAAUCUUCCUAGUCUAGGGAUUAUGACAUUAUGACGCAAGUGUCUAAUUGUACUUUUUCCUUAGUUCUUAAUGAAAUUAUGUUUGGUAGAUUUAAGAGCUUAAUGUUUUAUAUCAAACAACAUGAUCAA